AACAACAUCCAGCUACAUUGGACUACCACUUCAACUUGGACCUGACGCAUACAGACACUCCCAGGCCAGGGAAACUUACAGCAUUGACCAGGCCCAGGACAAAAUCAGCUGAAAAGGCCCCCUCUCUCCAUGCACACAGAGGCGAUUCUAGGUAUAGGCUUGGGGGCCCCAAGCAGAUGCCUGCCUAUCCUGGUGACAAGAUGCACUUCUGCGAUGCAUACAGUGUAAUGGGGACCAGAUUCUGGACCCCUGCUCUCCCUGUGCCCGGGACAACUCACGUUUUUGUCCCCCUCUGCCAACAGGCAGGCCUGGACACUCCAACACUCUACAUUCAGGUUCUACAUUUUUCUUUUCUCCUGGCUGGCUGUGCAACACUAGCUGCGCACAACUCAAACUCUGAUUGUUGGAAACCGCUGUCCGUCAAAAAAUUAGCUCACGUGGUUGGCUGCCAGUGUCUUGCCCCUCCUCACAACCUUGUGUUUAUAAACACGGUGAACCCAUGUAUAAACGGGCUGUUGACCCGGGCCCUCUAUCAUCGGCCUCAGGUAAUCAUCCUUUCCCCAUCAUCCCUUUCCCACCACUGUU